CUCUUCAGAAAGUUAGACCUUGCCUAAAACAGUUUGUUAGUCUACCAAUGUUUGUAUUUUCUAGGGGGGGGGGUUAUAAGACCAAAGGUAAAACCCGAACAUGCCACCAGUUCGAUAGUAGUCAUACUGUAUUUUUUGACUUAUGAACUAGUAAAAAAGCUGAAUAACUGAGAAAGACAUACUAAAUAUGUCCCUACAAAAACCCUACAUAAAAUCAGUUGCUUUCUAAGUGUUCACCAAGCUGAGCUAAUUAUGUAAAUACUUGACUGCUGGUGAGCCGACUAGUCAAGCGUCAGUAACACAAUGUUGUGUCUAGACAUGGCAUUUUGGUGGUUUUUCUCCCUCUGUUAUCUUAGAGGGGGGUUUAGUCGGGCAGACGUUUAAUAAUUUAUAGCUGCUUUCCCAUUUCCCCCCGUCUUGCCAUUCCUGGCAAAGAAUCCGUGCCAAAAGUCCUUUCCGUGUACGUGUUAUCUUCAGCUUUUAUUGUGCUAGAGAACUGUGUGAAAACACCUUGCUGGUAUUAAAAAAAAAAAAAAAGCAUACAGCUAUGACUCACUUCCAUGUUGUCCACGCCGCUGAAAUUAGGUUGUGAAUCGAUGUGUUCAUCUGCCAUAAUUGCUAAUGGUACUAAAUGUUCCACGUGUACUCGGAUUACUGAGCUCCAUACUGUUUUCAGUUGUUUGAGGCGGGACAGGAAAGCUUGUGGCCAGUCUCUUCCCACUGACCUGCCUUGACAGGAGGCCAUUUUGUUUCCUCUCGGUAUGUGUCAAAUAUUUCUUUCUUUUUCUUUUUUUUGCGUCUGUGUGUGCGUGGACACUGUGACAUGGUGGUCCUUGCAUGUUCACCGGAGCGAAACAUUCUGUCGUUAGAGACAGCAGGACUUUGGCACAGUACCUGGUGUUUGACAGCCUCUCACACUGUCUCUGCAUUUGAUGAUAGCACUUUCGUGCCAGCCGCUGGUUUUUGGUCUUUCACCGUGCAUACAGAUUGUGACUGUGUGCCUCUUAGCAGGGGUUAGUAGGACACCCCCUCCCUUCCUGGGAAAACUGUCAAAUGUGGAGUUUUGUGAGGUGCGAGGUGCGAUUUGCAAACUCCCACCAUCUCCGGGACUGUGUGCAUAUAUAUAUCUACACACAUAUAUACCCAUAUAUAUAUAUGCGGUGGCUCUAUGGCUCUAUACAUAUUGGAGGAGGAGGAUUCCCGUGUAUUCAUUCUCUCCAAACUCACACUGGGUUUUGUUGUUCCGAACUGAGGGGGCGAUGCCUACCUGAGCCUGCUCAGCAC
ensembl:lncRNA